GAUGAACGCUGGCGGCGUGCCUAAUACAUGCAAGUCGAGCGAACAGACGAGGAGCUUGCUCCUCUGACGUUAGCGGCGGACGGGUGAGUAACACGUGGAUAACCUACCUAUAAGACUGGGAUAACUUCGGGAAACCGGAGCUAAUACCGGAUAAUAUAUUGAACCGCAUGGUUCAAUAGUGAAAGACGGUUUUGCUGUCACUUAUAGAUGGAUCCGCGCCGCAUUAGCUAGUUGGUAAGGUAACGGCUUACCAAGGCAACGAUGCGUAGCCGACCUGAGAGGGUGAUCGGCCACACUGGAACUGGGACACGGUCCAGACUCCUACGGGAGGCAGCAGUAGGGAAUCUUCCGCAAUGGGCGAAAGCUUGACGGAGCAACGCAGCGUGAGUGAUAAAGGUCUUCGGAUCGUAAAACUCUGUUAUUAGGGAAGAACAAAUGUGUAAGUAACUAUGCACGUCUUGACGGUACCUAAUCAGAAAGCCACGGCUAACUACGUG
rnacentral:rRNA from 1 species